CAGUCGCCACGGGAACACGAAGGGGGCUAGCGUUGUUCGGAAUUACUGGGCGUAAAGCGCACGUAGGCGGAUAUUUAAGUCAGGGGUGAAAUCCCGCAGCUCAACUGCGGAACUGCCUUUGAUACUGGGUAUCUUGAGUAUGGAAGAGGUUAGUGGAAUUGCGAGUGUAGAGGUGAAAUUCGUAGAUAUUCGCAGGAACACCAGUGGCGAAGGCGGCUAACUGGUCCAUAACUGACGCUGAGGUGCGAAAGCGUGGGGAGCAAACAGGAUUAGAUACCCGCGUAGUCCCUGUCUCUUAUAA
rnacentral:rRNA from 1 species